rnacentral:lncRNA from 1 species
GGGAGGCAGGUUUCAUGGCCAGGCAGCUGCCUGUGCCAAAGGCAGCGGUGGCCUCAGGGACAAAUAUCUCCCGUUGGAAACGGGCUCUCUGCCUCUGCUUGCCGCUGGUCUCCAGGCAGAAACGCUGCGAGGAGCUACAGCUCAUGGUCGUGCUGCGCGGUGUGGAAGUCACCCCUGAACAGCACGGGCACAGCACAGGCAGGAGAUGGGGGUGUGAAGCACAAGGGUCUUUGCCUGCUUCUGGGGUGAACCCAGAGCCCUGCAGCAGAACAAAGUGGGUUUUACUGCGUCAGGAGCGGAGGCAGUGGCGGCAGGCGCUGAUGGUGCCAAGUCGCAUCCUGCUCACAGGCAGCGUCCAGUGCGGGGUGGAUGAGCUUCCCUCCCCCGCUUCCCCCAAACAAGGGGAAAAGCGGGUUUUGUUUGUUGCCCAAGGCCGGUGUCUGGAAUCCGUCCCCCGCUCCCUCCUCACAGGAUGUUUUCGUGCAACGCGCUCUGACUCAUGGAAGUCAAAUGACUUGGACGCAGCGCUGCGGCGCUUCCAGAGCCAAGCAGCCCCAGCGGAGCCGUUCCGGCCUCCGGCACCUCCAGCGCUGGCACGUGCUGGGCACCGGGUGUCCAGCUCCUCCAGCUGCAGGCACCGGGGCUGCCCCUGCCGCCGCCCGGCUCCCCCAUCACCGGCAAACCCACGGAGAGGGGUCCAUCCGCCACCUCGGCGUGUCCACAUCCAGAUGUGGGUGCUGCAUUUACAUCAAGGGGGGGUCGGCGCACGGCUCCCAUGUGUUAAACACCCUCCUGGUGCAGCUGGGAAACGGAGGGAGCCUCGCUGCUGCUGGAAUGUGUGGCGGUGCACCGGAGCCAUGGAGCAGAGGGGUCAGCAGUUAGCGGCUGUGUGCUCCUUCUUGCUCUCACAGGAGGCUUUGCUGCUCCGUUGUAUCAAGACCUCGCUCGUGUGGACCGUCAGGCUAACGACAACACCGCUGCAGCUUGGGUGCUGCUAACCCCGAUUUCACAAAAUCACAACAAAACUGUUUUGUUGUUGUUUUUUUACCUCAGAAAUUUGUUAUGAAACUUGCAUGGGGUGUAUGUGGGGAUCCUUUGCUGCCGUAAGGACAAGCCUGCUUCUCUUUAAUCCUGGGAAUGGUGCUCAUUUAAGAAGUGGCCAUCAGAGCUGUGGAGCAACAUCUCCUUCCGGCCCCGUGGCCAGACGGCCGGCCGGCAUUGAGCUGCUCUGAGGCCAGGGGGGACACAGCCCCUGAGCCCAUCAGACCCGGUCUGCCCGUGCCUGUGUGCACCGCUCCCGCUCGAUGCAAGCUUCCAUUGAGGGGCUGCUGCGGACAUGAACCCGCACCUCCCGGCCCCGGCCCCGGCCCCGGCCAGGAC